rnacentral:rRNA from 1 species
GACGAACGCUGGCGGCGUGCUUAACACAUGCAAGUCGAACGGUGAAGCACCUUCCUUUUGGUGGGUGUGGUUGAGUGGCGCACGGGUGAGUAACACGUGAGUAACCUGCCCCCUUCUUCUGGAUAACCGCAUGAAAGGGUGGCUAAUACGGGAUAUUCUGUGCCUGCUGCAUGGUGGGGGUGGGAAAGAUGCGCUUUUGGGUGUUUGUGGUGGGGGAUGGGCUCGCGGCCUAUCAGAUUGUUGGUGGGGUGAUGGCCUACCAAGGCGGUGACGGGUAGCCGGGCGGUGGGGGGGCACGGUCGGACUGGGACUGCGACCCGGCCCAGACGCCGACGGGGGGCAGCGGUAUGGAAGAUUGCAGAAUGGGGGCUAGCCUGAUGCAGCGACGCCGGGUGAGGGAUGGUGGCCUUCGGGUUGUAAACCUCUUUCGCCAGAGAAGCAGGCCUGUUCCUUGUGGGUGGGUUGACGGUAGCUGGAUAAGAAGCGCCGGCUAACUACGUG